rnacentral:misc_RNA from 1 species
GGAACCCGGGUGAAAGCCUGGGGUGCCCCGCCCGGGGAGCC